ACGUGGGGACGACCCUGCGGCUCGAUCAAGUUGUCAAUCCGGGGACGACCCCA
rnacentral:ncRNA from 1 species